rnacentral:misc_RNA from 1 species
AGAAAUCUUCAUUUGAAUUAAAAUUUUAUUUUUUUAUCAGUUGUGCACAUGCAAUUGCAGUGUGAAACGUAGAUGCCUUCUGUGACUCUUAACAAUAAUUGAAAUGUAUAAAAUCAUAUAUAUUUAGCAUUUUUUUAGCUAAAAUAAUAGGCAGAAAUCUAGAUUCACACAAGAAUAACAAUCUUAAUUAUUUGUAAGAGAAAUAUUGCCACGAGAAUUUGAUU